rnacentral:rRNA from 1 species
CCACAUCAUGAAAGCCGCUUGUACCCGAAGUCGCUGUGCCCAACUCGCAAGAGAGGCACGGUGCCGAAGGUAUGGGUGGUGAUUGGGAUCG